UCGCGUUGAGGUCCCCGACCAGCAGAGCUGGG
rnacentral:sRNA from 1 species